GGUGCCGUAAAAGAGGGAAGGAAGAAAGAAAAUCGCAGCCAUACGGGCUACGCUCCCCUGGCUGAACUUUAUCUGCAUUUUAAUGGCGGGAGGAGGGAGAGGAGUGUGUGUCUUUGUGUGUGUGUCUAUGGGGGGGCGGUGGAUAAAGACGGCUAUAUGUGCUCCUCCCUUGCAUCAUAUGUCAGCCAUUAGUGCAUCUCAGAGAGCUGGCACAGCACAACGCAGUUUACUGAAGUGUAGUGGACUGCAAGACCGCUUCAACCUUUCAGACAGAAAUGAGGGGAAAACAACCCGCUGACCUUUAGGACCCGAGAGCAACCACUCAGACUAACCAAUGGCCUUUUUGGACCAUGCAGUCAUUAGUCAAAGCUUUUAAGGGAGACCGCAGCCGCCCAAAAGCAUGAGCACGUCUGGGCUCGAUGGAGAUGAAACACUACGCGAGGGAAGACGAUAAAGAGUCACAGAACAUCUCGAUUCACGUUUGUAGGGAGCUCGCAAAAGACCUGAGUCAAAACAAAACUCGACGGGGGAGCAGCUGGUAAGAAUGUUGUCGUAAGAAUGUCAAGAGGCAUCGAUCUGUUCUCCGGCCAGAUGUGUUUUUAGCUAAGUCGUGUGAAAUCCGAACUUGGUAUCGAGCAAGUUCUCUUUGCUUCAUACACAAACGCUUGAUGACUUUCAGAUGUGACAGUCACGUUUCGUCUGGACCAAGAUCGUGGAAAUGAUUUUCUGUCCAAGUCCAAUUCCGUUUCUGUCAACUGGUUUCGCCAUCUCCGAGCAUGUACAACUUCUUUCACGUGGUUUCCUUUUUAAGUCAACAGCACUCCGAAGUGAUAUAGCACAUCGCCAUAAGUCAAAGUGAAAUGCCAAAACAGCACAGUUCUGGCCUAAACAUUCCACAGAGGCCGACCCCCCUCCCUCCCUUCCUGCCUUGGGGCUACGCAACACAGACGAAAAUAAAAGAUCCUUGCACAAACAGCAUACAUCUCGGACACAAACGGAUUUUGGCAGCAACGUCACAAAAUGGUUGACCUUUGACGUCGACAAAGAGCUGAACUUCCUCUUGCCGCUAAAUGCUAGCCAGCUGUGUUUCCACUCAGUCGACAGUUCUUAGAAAAGCUUCAAGAUCUCAAAACAUGGACACCAACAAACAGAUGCAAGAGUAAGACUGUAGGCUUGUUUUAUCAGGACGAUGUUCAUUUCCGGGCUUUAACUAUCCCAACUGUCUCCCGUUACAGCUUUUUCGGCCUGUCGCUGGAUGGAAGUCUUCAGCUUCGUCUUAAGUAGAACUCAGUUCUGCAAAAUGGAGAGGCUACGUUUACAGAAUCCAGAAAACAUCUGUUCUCCUCCCGUCCCGAAUGCGAACUAUGACCUUAAGCCCAAGGUACGUACCAAACUCUGAUUUUCAGUGUGGCGUUAAAGUUAAAUGCCAUGAGGUAAUUCCAAACUACAUAGUACCACUCCAAAAGCUACUCGGGAGCAUGGACAGGUCUGAACGGCACCAGAUUCAGGCUCCACCGAGUCUGCAACGCUACCUUGUACGUGUAAGAAGCGCUCCCUCGGGUCUAAAAGGUGCUCGGAUGACGGACGUUGACAAAAACCAGACGACCUGUGACCUUGGUCAAAGAGGUGCCGCGGACACUGUGGUCCCUGCAGGAGCACCCUAAAGAAUUCCAGACCUCCACAUCCAGCCUCCUCUCAUUUGUCAUCAGGUCCUCUAGCCCGAAAUGAUCACAAUAGCCAUCGUGACUAACUGCAGAACUUGUCAUGAACAUUGUUUGAAUGCAAUGACAUUUGUCCUUUUAGGGCCACCAUCACACCCAUUACUUGACACAAGCAUAAAAUAAAUGACCUUAUAGCUUUCCGUACUCACUUUUAAAAAAGGUAGGACAUGCAAAUUGCUCAGAAUUUCUGUUGUCAGGCCGGAUUGAUUUUAGGACAAAAACAACUUUGUAGCCUUAACUGCCCCAUAGCAGGCUUAGUGGUUAGCACAAAGUUCUGAGAUCAAGUCAAACAAAGACUCCAAAUCAGCGGUUCUCAAACAGAAAUGUGUUUGCCUUUACGUGAUUGGCUGGCAAACAGUCGUAUGGGACGUACAGCCACCUUUGACCCCAAUUUUGUUGUACAAUGAGAGUAAAGGCCUGAACAACUAAAAGGAGGUUGAAACGAGAAACAUGAGCUCAGUGAUGUCACAGGCAAUGGACGUAGCUAGUACGUGUGUGUGUGUGUGUAACAGGUUUAAAGGCAAGUUCUACCCUCAGGCCAAAGUCAAAUAUGUCAACGUUGCGCAUGUGGCUUUCAUUUGGGAUGAGUUGAGGGUCGCUGUGCGUCCGUUGGUGGGAACGCAGCUCACCAGGAAACGCCAUGUUUUUAUUAGAAGCCAGCAAAUGACUGAAAUUGAUCUUUUCCUGGCCAACUGAUCCCACGUGGAAGGCCAACAAUACACACACAGCUUCCAAGGUGGUUCACACUUUUUGAUUUUCUACCGUUUGUGCAAUAAAUACGCCGAUUGCUUGGAGUCUUUUCUUUGAACAAACACGAUUCAAUGUGCGAUGAUGGAGGGAACAAGAAAAGUCACGGCCGAUUCGGGUGAGUGAAGAAUCACUGCAAAUGCCUUGAAAUAAAGCUUCAAAUCAUCAUUCCCUAGACAGAGUAGUAGCAAAAUAAAAUGGGAUUUGAAACUACAGUGCAUCAUUCAUAAUAAUACAAAUAAAAAUUGCAGUUUUAACAGGUAAUGAACGCCUCGAUGAGAACAAACAAGAGGUACUCGUGCAAGGUAAGGCUACUUGAAAAAAAAUAAAGGAAUAAUACAAACAAGUGGGCUAUUUUUAUAUAUACAUAUAUUAUAUAGUUUAUUAUAUAUAUUAUAUAUUUGUAUAUAUUUUUUAUAAUAUAUAUAUAACUAAUAUGAAAUAUAUGUAUACAUAAUUAUAUAUAUAUAUAUAUAUAUAUAUAUAUAUAUAUAUAUAUAUAUAUAUACAUACACACACACAUAUCACGUAUUUAUAAAUUUAUGAAUUGGGUUGAAUGCCUGAAUACUGUAUAUUGGUAAUUGCAUAAUAAAUUGUUUCAAAUACUUGAUGUGGCCUUUUGGUUGUAUUUUCUUUUCUUUUUUUUUUUUUAAUUUUAACAUUAAAUCCUUCUUUAAACCUGUGUGAUACUUUGUCAGCAUGGAGAAACGACACAAGUGUCACAUUUUGGGUUCUUUAAUCAACUUUACAAAGGGGGAGGAGCUGAGUCAAUUUUUUUGUGUGUGUUUUUGUACUCCUCUGAAAUAAAUAGCAUCUUGGAAUAAUGAAGCAAAACAUGCAAAAAUAAAAGACGCUGACGUGAUGCGAUGUAAAGGGUGCGACGAUCUUGUGAGGACAAGACGCGCAUCUGCGACGCGUCAGUCUGAAUUAAGCGUCGCCGACUUCUCGCCGUCGCCAAGGUUCGCAUCGUGAUUUACAAUUGCUCGGGAUUUGUUUCCUGUAAAGUUGCAUGUCACAGCAAUGGACUCACGCUGCGCUUUUAUGCAGUCGUAAAUAAGAGCACCCCCUCAAACACACACACACACAAACACAAACCUGACACAAGCUAUAAAAGCUUUUCUGUGUUUUACCGCAAGUCGUUCCAUGUCUUAACAUUUUAUUGUCGAGCUGCUGCCUGAAAUGAUGCAACCUUCAUUCAGAGAUUGUUUCAAUUGCUUGUGAUAUUAAAAGUGGAUUAUUGUAACUUCAGCUGUUUGUUAUUUUUCCCCUUUUUGUGGAAGCAUGAGUUACUAUGUUGGGAAUCUCGUUUUUGUCGUGUGACUUAAGUUGCAACACGUGUAUUUGAUGUAGACGAAGAAUUUAAGUGUUUUGAAGUGAGGCUAAAAUCAUUAAAGCUGCAGUAUUUAUUAGUAUCAUCUACCAUAAACAAAUAAUAUUUUGUGUGUGUGGGGGGGAAACUUUUAAUAAAAUAAACUGGUAUUUUUCAUUCUAUGGUGUGAACAUUUGACUGACCUGAGGUGAAUGAAUGAAUGAAUUAAAAAUAUAUAUCCAUCCAUCCAUUCUUGAACUGAACAAAACUAAUUGGAAAUAUUUUCCUCUGUACAAGACUGUAUUGACUUUUAAAGAGAUACAAGAGCACCGGCAAAUGUUUUUAAAUAACCAGUAACGAGAACUAAGCUACUUUGGGCUGGGGGGACAAAAAAAAAAAAUCCUGUACAAAGAUACAUAUACAAAAUACAACAACAGCCUUUUGUCGCUGUUUGAUAAAAGCCAUAAUUUGAACUCUUAUACACAAAUAUACACUUGUGUAUUUAGGAUACAUGAUGAAAGCAGCGACAACAGCAUUCAUAUAACAUUGACUGGGCAAAA